CCUACGGGAGGCUGCAGUGAGGAAUAUUGGUCAAUGGCCGGAAGGCUGAACCAGCCAUGCCGCGUGAAGGUCAGUGCCCUAUGGGCGUUAAACUUCUUUUAUAAAGGAAUCAAGUGAGGCACGUGUGCCUUUUUGUAUGUACUUUAUGAAUAAGGAUCGGCUAACUCGGUGCCAGCAGCCGCGGUAAUACGGAGGAUCCGAGCGUUAUCCGGAUUUAUUGGGUUUAAAGGGAGCGUAGAUGGGUUGUUAAGUCAGUUGUGAAAGUUUGCGGCUCAACCGUAAAAUUGCAAUUGAUACUGGCAGUCGUGAGUACAGUUGAGGUAGGCGGAAUUCGUGGUGUAGCGGUGAAAUGCUUAGAUAUCACGAAGAACUCCGAUUGCGAAGGCAGCUUACUAAACUGCCACUGACAUUGAUGCUCGAAAGUGUGGGUAUCAAACAGGAUUAGAUACCCCAGUAGUC
rnacentral:rRNA from 1 species